UGGGGAAUAUUGGACAAUGGGCGGAAGCCUGAUCCAGCCAUGCCGCGUGUGUGAAGAAGGCCUUUUGGUUGUAAAGCACUUUAAGCGAGGAGGAGGCUACUUGGAUUAAUACUCUAGGAUAGUGGACGUUACUCGCAGAAUAAGCACCGGCUAACGCUGUGCCAGCAGCCGCGGUAAUACAGAGGGUGCGAGCGUUAAUCGGAUUUACUGGGCGUAAAGCGUGCGUAGGCGGCUUCUUAAGUCGGAUGUGAAAUCCCUGAGCUUAACUUAGGAAUUGCAUUCGAUACUGGGAAGCUAGAGUAUGGGAGAGGAUGGUAGAAUUCCAGGUGUAGCGGUGAAAUGCGUAGAGAUCUGGAGGAAUACCGAUGGCGAAGGCAGCCAUCUGGCCUAAUACUGACGCUGAGGUACGAAAGCAUGGGGAGCAAACAGG
rnacentral:rRNA from 1 species